rnacentral:rRNA from 1 species
UACAGGGGGUGCAAACGUUGCUCGGAAUUAUUGGGCGUAAAGCGCGCGUAGGCGGCCGCUUAAGUCGGAUGUGAAAGCCCCUGGCUCAACUGGGGAAGUGCACCCGAAACUGAGUGGCUUGAGUACUAAGGAGGGUCGCGGAAUUCCCGGUGUAGAGGUGAAAUUCGUAGAUAUCGGGAGGAACACCGGUGGCGAAGGCGGCGACCUGGGUAGAUACUGACGCUGAGGCGCGAAAGCGUGGGGAGCAAACAGG